ensembl:snRNA U4 U4 spliceosomal RNA
AGUUUUUUGCAGGGGCAGUAUCAUAGUAUUGUAGCCAAUGAGGUUUAUCAAAAGUGUGAUUAUUGCUAAUUGAAAACUUUUCCCAGUACCCCUCCAUGAAAACUAAAAAUGUAGUCAGCAUCAGCAAUUUUCGAAUUUGACAGUCU